rnacentral:rRNA from 1 species
AAGCGGUGGAGCAUGUGGUUAAUCGACGCUACGCGAAGAACCUUACCUGGGCUUGAACUGCUGGAGGUAGGAGCCCGAAAGGGUGACGACCCGGAGCAAUCCGGGAACCAGCAGAGGUGCUGCAUGGCUGUCGUCAGCUCGUGUCGUGAGAUGUUGGGUUAAGUCCCGCAACGAGCGCAACCCUUGCCCUUAGUGCCAGCGGGUAAUGCCGGGCACUCUAAGGGGACUGCCCGGAUAACGGGGAGGAAGGCGGGAUGACGUCAAGUCAGCAUGGCCUUUAUGUCCAGGGCUACACACGUGCUACAAUGGGCGGUACAGAGGGAAGCAAAGCCGCGAGGUGGAGCUAAUCCUUAAAGCCGUCCUCAGUUCGGAUCGCAGGCUGCAACUCGCCUGCGUGAAGUCGGAAUCGCUAGUAAUCGCGGAUCAGCUACGCCGCGGUGAAUACGUUCUCGGGCCUU